AUACGAUUCUCUGGUAUAUAAUUAUACACCUUUAAGAGCAACAAUAUGACGGUCAAAUGUUAUAAAAGAGAUGAUGACGAUUUAUAUAGCGAUUACUUACGACUCAUGUCCAUACGUCUUUAUAUUUAUAAGAACUUAUAAUAUAUUUUCGAAAUCUAGAAAAAUAGUAAAAUUGAUAAGCUCACAAAGAGUGGCGACAUUGAAAAAGUGAAAUAUAAAUGGUCUGUUUUGUGUUUACUCAUUUACUGCGUGCAAAUAACCACCAAACACAUUUUUCUUAUUACUAUCUCAACUCACAUGUUGGAUGAGCAAAUAUACACGUAUAUAUGUAUGUCGAUAUAAGCCUUCAGUGUCUAACAGAAUAGCAUCGAUUAUUUGCAAAGACAACGUAUGAUUUAAGAAUUAGUGCUGCUCAGGCCACUCAAAGCUGGAAAGAAUUAUGGCAGCUAAUUGGGAACUUUGCUUUAUUUACGGAUAUUAUGUGGUGUAGUAAAUCAUCCAACUAUG